CAACAGAGAAAAAGAAAAAGUCAGUUUCAGGCAGCGAGAGUUUGAUGCCGUCAUCCUAGCGACUCACCCCCUCACCCUUCCCACUCACAGCUUCCACCUCACCGGGGGUCGGGCAUGUGCCAAGAUGAGGCGGUCUUGCCCUUACAAGCACAAAGCAACCAGAAUACGUUAGAAAUGCCUGAUUGAAAAUAAAAGGGCGUGUUGAUUUUGGCCCUACCUUAUUAGGGAGGGUAAAGUUAAUUGUAUGCUUUUUGUUUCCAGAUUGUGCCUUCUAAUUCUGUUUAAUACAGCAAAGAGACGUUGGUUUUUCUUGAGGUGGGGGAUAGCCAUAAGCAACACUGGAAACUCAUAGUGGCUGUCCUGCUUAUAGUUCCUUCCAGAGCUGAGCUGAAAGUUCUCCUCAUCCCUGGCAAGGCUGAUGAGGGAUCAUUGUCUUGCUUUCAGAGCCAGUUGAGGCCAAGAGAGGCGAUAAACUCUGGCCUGGAUUAUUGCCAUGGUUCUGGCAAGAGCCUUGCACAGAUGCAAGCAAAGCCCAAGCGUUUGCUUUCUAAUUGCUAGUGCAGUUUGUUGUUAGAUUUUUCAUCCAAUACAUCUAAUGUACCUUUAGGAAGGUGCUUCUUCUCUCAGACAGGAGAUGCCAACGUAAAGAUGGGAUUACUGCAUGGUUUGGGGAGGACUUUUCAGCGGUGCAUUUCUGCAGAGCCUGCUGAGAUUGUGCUGUGGCCUCCCUCCAGCCUUGGUGCAUGUGGUGACAUUCGUUUUCCUGGGACACUUAGGCCUUGCACACAGGAAGCUGUUUUACCUGGAUCUGCUUGCUGGGAGUCCAGGGGGGGUUAUCUUAGGGCCCAAAGGGAUCAGAGCAGCCACCCUUACCAGACAAGAAGCGUUCAAGGCUGCUUCUUGUUAGCAAGCCACUCAGAGUGGGCACCCAGGGACGCACACCAUGGAUUGUGGGUCCCCCCAGACCUGCUAGCACGUUGUGAUCUGAUAACGUACAGAGGGGCUUCCCUGGAUCUUCCUGACCCAGGGAUCGAACCCAGGUCUCCUGCAUUGCAGGCAGAUUUUUACCAUCUGAGCCACCAUGGAAGCUCUUUAAUAUUGUGUUUUUCCAAACAGAUAAGCUUCGUUUCAUAGGUGUUUGUUGAAGUCAAAUAGUCAAGCAGCAUUCCCUUUCUCCGUAUGAACAUAGCUACUUUAGAAUACGUUAGUUGACCCUAAAAAGGUGAAACAGCAAUGUUUUUUAUUUAUUUAAUUUUGGCUGUGCCGGGUCUUCGUUGCUGUGUGCGGGCUUUCUCUGGUUGGAGAGGCUUCUCUUGGUAGGGUGGGAGCUCUAGGUGCAUGGGCUUAGUUGCUCCUCAGCAUCUGAGAUCUUUCCAGACCAGGGAUUGAACCUGUGUCCCCUGUAUUUGCUCGCAGAUUCUUAACCAUUCAACCACCAAGGAAGACCAACAAGCAAUGCUUUAACAGUUUAUUUUUCUGGGACCGAUUUUAAAUGUUUCCUGUUUGCACGAAUAAGUUCAGUGACCAAAGAACGAUGUUAAGGUCCUUCCUGAUUUGCCAUUUGGGACCCAGCCGUACUCUGCUUCGGUCCAUUGCCGACUUUGAGUUACUUUUAGCAAACCACGCAGCAGCGGCUGUGGAAAUACAGAGUUCAUUUCACGUAGUAAACAUGUGGGACAGUUUUCCUGGAGCCAUGAGAAUGUUGGAAGACUGUUCCCAGGAAUGCUGUUCAUGUUUGGUGCUCUCUCAUUAGGGAAGACAGGUGAGUAACACAGAGAGAGGUGAACUCAGAACACGGCACCGUGCUCUGGGCUUGUCUGAAUGGAGCAUGAGUGUGUCUGCUUCCAGACUCGCUCCUUGACUGACUGGGAUCUGGUGGGUAUUAAGGAAGACCUUUCUGGCUUUUCUCCCCCGCUUCCUCUGUGUGCGGGCACCUCCCUCACCCCCACCCCCAGCUUAAGACUUGGUGUUAUAAAUAACUUUUCUUCAUUCAAGUAGCCCUCUCUGAGCAUCAUUAGGGAAUCAGAGCAGUUGUAAAAGCAGCAGUGAAACUUGCAGAUAGUGGAAUGUGCCAGCCCCCAUGGAAGGCAGUGUGCACAUUUACACUGACUGAGUCGGUGCUGAGGU
rnacentral:lncRNA from 1 species